rnacentral:lncRNA from 1 species
AGCUUUUCUUCCGGAGCCUCCACGAGAAAGAAAUGGAGGGUCUUUUCCUGGGACUGCUUGUGGUGCAAGUCCCGCUUGGGUGCAGGGUGAGCGGCUUCCAAGGAAUUCACUGUCUCUUUCUCUCUUUCUAGCCGGAGUGGGAGGUGACCUCAGGGGCCCCAGCUGGGGGCCUGGCUGGGAAAUGCACAGAAGGAGACUUCGACAGGAGUAGCUAUGGUUUGUGCUGUGCUCUGCACACGUCUGGCUGAUAGAAAUCUAUGUCCAUAAACAGGUAACAUAAUUUGGUUUAUCGAACCCAUAAUAAGCAGAUUUUCUGACUUGCAUAAGAAUUUCUCUGUAAUCUUUGCCUUAAGGAAAAGUCCGCUGAAUGCCAUAGAAAAAGUUGCAUUUGAUGAGGUUUCAGGAAAGAAAAGGUAACGAACUAUUCUAAGAGAUGAGGAUAGUGCCUGAGUGGGGCCCAGGACAGACAGGGGGUCCUCACCUCUCCCUCCCGGGGUUGGCUGCAGGGCUUUGCCUCAGUCUGUUUUAUUUUUUUUUUUGUUUGUUUGUUUGUUUUUUGCAGCAUCUACACAGUUUAAAUACUUGGAAAAAUCCUCUUUUUCCUUCCAGGUCUCUGUGGAAAACUGAAGAUUCAUGUGCGCUUUCAGAAAAGAGGUUCCAAGGAAAAGGGCAGCCAUUUAGUUUUCACAAGUCUGGGCAAUGAGCGAUUUCGAGCUUCCGUCCUUGGCUGACAUCAUGAACACCAGUGCUGCUGGCCUCUAUCACAAGAACAGUGGGACUUCGUGCUUAGCCUUCCUGGGAAGGGCCUGUCCCUGGGUCAUGUCCCCACUGACCACAGGAGGAAGAGAUGGCGUGAGGAUCCGGGGGGUCUGGCUCUGCGUCCACUCAUCUCUGUGUGGAUGCCUCCUGUCUCCCGGGUGAUAACCGGUCACCCGAAUGUGUCCUUGGCAUCAUUCCUGGCUUCUCCUGCUGCUUGAUAACCCUCUGGCUGCACGGAGCCCAGGACGGAGAAGGAGAGGCCUCAUUCUCCCGGGGGGAUGCAGGCUGAGACCACCAUUCUCUGGAUCAGAGUUUCGUGUUGGGGAGGUACUCCAGGGAAGGACAGUGAGCUG